rnacentral:misc_RNA from 1 species
UUAAGUUCAGCGGGUAUUCCUACCUGAUCCGAGGUCAAACUUUCAGAAGUGGGGGGUUUAACGGCGUGGCCGCGCUGCGAUCCAGUGCGAGUGUUGCUACUACGCAGAGGAAGCUACAGCGAGACCGCCACUAUAUUUCGGGGCCGGCGGUAUGCCGAUCCCCAACGCCAGAUCCCCCGAAGGGGUUCUGAGGGUUGAAA